AUGUCCCAACUCUGUGGUUACUACCUUACCUGACAAAGGGAAAGUUGCAGAUGUGAUUAAGUGAAGGCUUUUGAGAUGGGGGAAGAUUAUCCUGGAUUAUCCAGUUGUAUACAAGGGUCCUCCCAACAGGGAGGAGGGAGGCCAGAGAGGAGAGAGGAUGCCAUUCUGCUGACUUUGAAGGAGGAUAGACUCCAUGAGCUGAGGCCAGCAGUCCAAGGACAUGCAGUUGAUAGGAUGUAGAGCCAGGAUGAUGCCCACUGGACUUGAACCGGUGCAGCUGCAACCAGUAGGCCGGUGAACACUACCUGGACGAGGUUCUGACCACAGGCUGGUCCCCAGGAACUCUGAUCUGUGGAGGGAGAAGGCCCUGCAGAAACCUGAGCUUCUGGUCACUCAAGCAGAGGCUUGAAAAGAGCCCAGGCCCUCAUGGGA